rnacentral:piRNA from 1 species
UCCUUCUUCUGUUCUUGAUCUGCCAG